rnacentral:lncRNA from 1 species
CAAUUUCCAUAUGAAAGAGAAGAUGGUUGGAUGGAGAUCAAGAUGGGAGAAAUAUUCAUUGACCUAGAUGAUGAUGGUAAGGUGGAAAUGCUGUUUAAGGAGGUGGAGAUGCUCGAACGCAAGUCCGGCCUCAUUAUCCAAGGAAUUGAACUUCGGCCAAAAAAUGGUACAUAACAUUGGUGUAACUAUUUGGUGACUACCCAAUGAGAAAAUUUCAAAUAGCGCGCCAGUGGGAACAACCUUGUUAGGUUAUGAGAGACGAGUUGUCCACUUUUUCCCAUUUGCGAGGUUUAAUUGGCCCAUAGAAUGCUGUCGCUCUAUUUGUUUAUGGUGUUUGAGUUUUGGACUAAAAAUGGUACAAAGUAUUGAACUUCGUCCUAAAACUGGAGAAGAGUAUUGAAAUUUGGCAUAAAGGAUCUGGUUGUCUUGUUAUAUGCGUAUGAUGGCAAUUUCUAUUGAUGGCUCAUUUUGAAAGCUUUGAACUUUUACUUAAAAUAUGGUGGAACGGUGUGUGCUGGAGUAGGCGAUUUAAAUAGUUAAUUUAGUCGAAAUAGAUGAUACGUGCUAAAAUAAAAUCUUGCAAAUUAACUGUCACCAAAUCAGAUCACAUUUGUCUCUUCAAAUUUCUUCACGCACUUUAAAUGUGUUCUUUUGUCAAUUUAGUUUCUUUAUUGUUUCUUUUCUUCCCUCUCUUUAAGAUCCAUCUCUUCCAAAAACUAAAAGAAAAAACUAAAUAAUUUCCUUCGAUACUGAUGACCCUUCAAAUGGUAAGGAAUAUAUUGUAAUUUUACAUAAUAAAUACAAAAAAUAGAAUGUAUUUUAUGAAAAAUGAAGUGUAUAAAUCGGUUACGUUUUUCAAAUGCACUAAACAUUUUAAGUGAAGACUAACUUCUCAAUUUAUUUAUUUAUUUUGAAAAAUCUUAUUUUUUAAGAAGUUAAAUACUAUACACUUAAAUAAUCUCAUUUUUUUUAGAUUGUCCUUCAACACUUCGGAAUUAUCUAAAUGUGAAAAGGUGAUAUUAUCUCAUCAAUUCAAAAGAGAAGUAUAAUAUGAAAAUGUAUAUAUUUUAUUUGUUCAUUUUUAAAAAACCAAAAGAGAUUUUAAGAUAUCUAAAAAUAAAAUAAUAAACAAAUAAAAUAAGUCAGUGAUUGAGAUAAUUCCCAUUGAUUGAGAUAAUCCCCAUCAUAAAUAAAUUACUUAAAUGAGUCAUAAAUUACCUAAAUGAGUCAUUGAUUGAGAUAAUCGCCAUCAUAAAUUAUCUAAAUGUCCUCCUAUGCCAAAAAAAAACAUUUUAAUAAAAGAGAAAUUCAAAUAAAUUCAUCAUAAUAAAAAAUAUGGAUCAAAUUAGAAGGAAAAAAAAGAAGUCUAGCCUAAAUCUAAUUUAUUUUAUUGUUAAGUAUGGGUGCCUGUGAGUAAGAGAGAGAGAAGAGAAGAGAAGAGGGGGAGGGGGGAAUGAAUUGUUUCUCGACAUUGCGGAAGGGUUGCAUAUUAGAUAUUCUCUCUCUAACAUCGCCUCGAGAGUAGAAUUAAAAAUAUUUGUGUCUUAUAAAAUAGAUACUGGUUGUGCAAGAGUAGAAUUAAUUCUUGGAUGUGGAUUGAUUUUGUUUUUUUAUCUAUACUAUAUACUAAAUACGCGUAAUGCCAAUUUCUUUAUUUUUAGCCAAAAAAUUAAAAAAUCAAUCAAAUUCUACGUAGUCACCCUUAAACUAAUUUCAUUUUCUGUUUUCCAUCUUCUGUAUUUUCAUAUUUACAUUAUAAUUUUUUUUAAAAAAAAAUCCUUUCUUUUUAGCAUAUAAUCCAUAUUUCACGUUUCUAUAUUUAAAUUAUAUUUUUUCUUAUGAAUAAAUUGCACAAGCUUCUCCCUUAAAGUUUCUAACUAAUUCACUUCCGUAUUGGAAAUAACUACCCCCGUGAGGUUAAUAUCUUCUUAACACUUGCCCCUACGUUAAGUGAACAUUGUUGUGAUUAUAGGAUGAGGAUGGUCAAAGUUGGUUUUGAGAGGAAGUAAUUUUUUGGAAAUUAGAAGAGGUAAAGGGGAACAAUCAAGAUUUUUGAACUCCUCAAACUCACUUUUAAUCUUUUUCUUCAGAAAAAUCUUACAAUCAAUUGGCUAGAUGCCAUCCCUAUUUAUGAAUCAAAGGAUGGUUCUAGUCUUUACAAGAUAUUCUUAAGAACAUUCUAGUUACAAAGAUAUUUUUUAUAUGUUCUAAUUUCCUAGAUUCUUCUAAAUAAAAUAUCUAGAUAUUUAUCCUAGACUUCUAUAGAAGCUUCUAGAUUACAAAUACUUAUCAUAUGUUUUAGGUCAUUCUAGACCUUCUAACACCCAAUAGCUUCAGUCUUGGACUCUAAUAUUUUUCUCUUGGAUCAAAUCAAGUUUAUAAUUCACUCCCCCCCUUAAACUUGAUUUAGUGAUUCCAAAAAAAGCUCUUACUUGAAAAAGACGUCAUGCUUGAGCGGCGUGGUUAAGAUUCUGCAAUUUGAUCUUGUGAUCCUUUGUAAAUGUCAAUUGAACCCCUCUUGUUACCUGCACUCUCUUAUGAAAUGAUACCUUGUAUCUAUGUGCGUUGCUUCGAUCUGAAGACCAGAUCUUUGCCAAUGCUAUUGCCAAUUGUUGUCCACGAAUAUCUCCGUUACUUCCUUUUGUUGUCAAAUUUAAGCUCUUUUAUAGUAACUACAACUCCUUAGCCACAUCGCAUGACUACACAUGAUGCAACACACAGCUACAUAUUCGGCCUUCAACAAGUAGAAAAGGGUGACGCUCGGUUCUUCUUCUUCUUUCGAAUCCAAGUAAAUGCAAUUGUCACCACAAUGUAGAAUAUAAACCAGUUUUGCUCUUUUCGGUCAUCUAAAGUCAUCCGGCCCAAUCACUAUCACUAUAUCCAACAAGUCGGAAAUUGUUUAAAUGAAUGAAAAAUAGGCCGAAAUCAAGUGUACCUUUUAUGUAACGAGAAUCCUCUUGGCUGUUUUAAGUGACUUAUGGUUGGCUCCUUCAUGAAAUGGCUCACUAUCCAACUCUGAAAUAUGUCCGGUCUUGUGCAUGUCAAUAACCAAACUUCCCACCAAACUUUUGAAAUACCGGUUGGAUCCACCUUUUCUCCACCAUCAAGCCUAUACAACUGUUACCUCGCUUCCACCGUGGUGCUAUUGGGUUUACAAUUCAUCCAUAUUGACCGUGAAGUACUUCAUUUGGCAUAACCUUCUUGGAGAGAAGAUGCCAUUUUUAUUUGCUUCACUUCGAUUCCCAGAUAGUAUGACAAUGAGCCCCAUGUCCUGUCUCUCAAUUCUCGAGCCUUGCUUUCUGAACUCUUCAAACAUUCUUGGGUUGGUUGCCGGUAAAGAGCAAAUCAUUCUACUACAGCAUACAAGCCAAAUAUCUCCAUUCUCCAUUUUGGUGUAGGGCAUUCUCAUGAGGCAUUUUCAAUGAAAUUGUUGUUCUUGAAAAUACUUGUCAAUUCUAUUAAUUCCAUGCCUUGGAGCUUGUUUUAAACCAUAUAAACCUUUAUUUAGCUUUAAAACUUUAUUUCAUCCCUUUCACCUCAUAACCCGUAGUUGCUCUAUAUAACUUUUUCUCAAUAAAGCCAUUCAAAAAGCGUAUUUAAACGUCCAUUUGAUAGAUGUUCCAUUUAUUCUUUGUGCCGCUAUAGAAAUAACAAUCUAUAGUUUCUAAGAGAGCGAACAGGAGCAAAUACCUCUCAUAGUCCGAUUGCCCCGGCUCGUUGUUGUAUCCUUUGACACAAGUCCUGCUUUGUAUCGCUCCACUUCUUCUCCUUUGGCAUUCUCUUCUCUUCUUGUUACACCCACUUUUCACGCCAUUGCUUUGUGGUCUUUUGGAAGAUCGGCUAGUUCCCAUGUAUCAUUUUUUCCUUAUUGCUGAAUCUCUUCGUCCAUAGCAUUCUCUAUUUCUUACUUUGCCCCGCUUCUUCUUUCAAAACCUAUUGGUGCACAAUCGCAAAAACAAAAUAAAGUGAAGAUUGUCUUGGUUUGUCGUUCUCAAUACAACUCUUGUAGGUUCCUCUGUGGCACGCCUUUCACCGUGAGCUUUCCCUCAAGGAUGGAUCUUCACGGUGUGGAGGUGGUGAUGAAGGUGGUGUCAUGGACUCUUGGGGCGCUUCCCUUCUUUUACCAUCUCUUCGAACAUUGGAAAGAAAUCAUUUGCUCCUCUUCUUUGAGUCUCCCAAGUCCCACUUGCUUUCUUCAUCAAAGACCACGUCUCGGCUCGAGAUCACCUUCCCCAUUGGCAUUGGUGUCCAACUUGUAACCUUUGGAACUUGAUCAUACCCAAUGGAAGACAUACUUUUCACUUCUCUCAUCAAGUUUGGCUCGUUUUUGCUCCGGCACGUGUGCAUAACAUCUCCCAAAACCCAGUGGUGAGAUCCCCGGCUUUCUUCGUUCCAUGCUCUUGUCUUGCGGAGUCUUCCCCCUACACUUUUCGUGGCGGGAGAGAGAUUUGAUAAUAAACUCACAAUCCACACUUCGGCCAGAAUUCUUUUGGUAUCCUCUUGCUUGUUUCAACAUGCUUCGAGCCGUGUAAGAAUGGAUCUAAUUUUUUCUUUUUCAUGCAACACUAUUUUGGGGGGGGGGGGGGGAGUACGGAAAUGUUAGAGGUCGACCGAAUUCCUAUUUUCUUUCACACAAUUCAAUAAAUUCACUUGAAGUGAUUCGCCUCCUCUAUCGGAUCUCAAUGGCUUUUUAUAUCAUAGCCACUUUUUGCUUUUCACAACGCCUGAAUUUUUUGAACACAUUAUCACUUCGACUUUUGUUUUAAAAAAAUAGACCAUGUCUUUCACUAAAAUCAUCAAUAAAGAGGAGAAAUAUCUAUUUUUGCCGAGAGAAAAAUGUCCCAAUUGGUCCACACAAUCGGUGUGAAUAAGUUUCCGAGGCCUUGCUUGCUCUGUUGUUGUCUCUUUUGAAAGUUUUUUCGAAAGUGCUUACAGAAGCAAAGCCUGCACAAAAUUGAUCCGGAUAUUUGAUAGAAGGCAUCCUUUAAAACCAUUCCUUUGGUCCGGAUAGCAAUUUUAGUCCCCCAAAUUUAAAUGCCCAAAUCUCAAAUGCAAAGCCAAGUUUUGUCUUUGUAGGCAUGCUUUCCAAGCAUUUUGCAAUAUCAUUUGAAUAUUUAGCAAAAACUUCUAUUGCUUGUCAUUGGCACUUGGCAAUCCAAUUUCCUUUAUCACUCCUUAAAAAAUCUAUACUAUUUUUCAUGUGGCUAUCAUAGCCUUUCUCUAAGAGUUGUCCAUACUCAAGAUAAUUUUUUCAUAUUGGGGACCAUCAUAAACAUUUGAAAUAAAUUGAUGCCUUCCAUUUUUUAAAGCGAAUCAAAUUUUAGCCCUUUUGUCUUUCACCUUGGCAUCCAUGGUUUUGCUUAUCGAUAGUUUGCACCUACCCCUUCAGUGCCUUUCUCGACCACGUCCCAUAACAUCUUCUCCACCGGGUAUGCCUUCAUUUGAAAUACCUCCACGACUGUAUUAUCUUUUGGUUACUUAGGAAAUGGACUACUUGGUGGAACAUUUUCUUCAAACUGAACCAAUGGCUCGGUACCACUUUGUUGGAAGUAUAGGAGGAGGAUGUCAAAUGUUGGUUUAUGAAAAGGAAGUAAUUUUUGAAUUAGAAGAGGUAGGGGAAACAAUCAAAGAUUUUUUGAACUCUCAAACUCAACUUUUAUCUUUUUCUUCUCUUACAACAUGUUUUUUUUUGGGGGGCUGGAUGCCAGCCCUAUUAUAGAACUCAAGAUGGUUCUAUCUUUACAAGAUUAUUUCUUAGAACAUUCUAGUUAAAUAGAUAUUUUUUAUAUGUGCUAAUUUCUAGAUUCUUCUAAACAAAGAAGCUAGAUAUUUAUCCUAGGACUUCUAUAGAAAGCUACAGUCUAGAUACAAAAUACUUAUCACAUUUUAGUUCAUUCUCGAACCUCUAAACCACAAGUAGCUUCGAGUCUUGGGCUUUCUAAUAUUUUUCUCUGGAUCAAUCAAGUUACGUUUAUAAUUCAACAAAAUCCCAUCUGUUCUCAUCCGUUAGUGGGAUCUCACUGAAUACUGAUGUUAGCCACAAAAUACUUUACUUGUCCAAAAUGCCCCUGAACUGCUAGUUGCUAGUUGUGUCCGUCAAAUAGUUGUUAGAACCUCUUUUUUUAUCAAAAUGUUUUUCAUUUCUUGAUUAAAAUUUUUUAUUUUUUGGUUUUAUUUAUUAAGAAAGAUUUUAAAAUAUAAAUAUUUUGUUCAAAUUUUCAAAUAUUAGUAAUUACAAAAAAAAUAACAAUUUAUCAAGUAAAAAUGAUAUUUUUUUUCAGUUUUUUCAUAUUUAGUGAAAGUUUUUUCUUCAUUUGAUCAAAAUUUUAUAAUUUUUGGGUUCAACUUGACGAGGAGAAUCUGAAAAUGUAAAAAUUUUAUUCAAAUUUGCAAACGAGUUCACUUGGGGCAAAAAAAAUUGAAGAAUAAAAAUGUAUUUUUUUAUGUUUUUUCGUUUUUAGUGAACAUCUUUUAUUGUUUGUUCAAAAAUUUAUUUUUUUUUCAUUCCACUUGACAAGAGGAAUAUGAAAAUAUAAAAUUCGUGUAAAUUAUUAAAAAAAUUCACUUAGAAUAAAAAAUAAAUAAAUAAUUUAUCGAGUAUAAACUACUUUUUCGAGUAUAAACUAAAUCAGGGUGGGACCACAAUGCUAGCACAAACACAAUUUCUCGCUGUGGCUAAUAAUUUUUCCUCUUACCUGUGAGAAAUAGAAUUAAGCUUGCAACUCAAACGAAUUUAGACGGAAUAGGGGUCUGUCGUCAUGACUAGCUCAUGCUAUAUUGGAUCUGGUUUUUCACCCCCUUCCAUCAUACCCAUUUUUAUAGGACGAAAAAUCGAACAAAACUUAUAUCCAAAAGGGCGGUUUAUCUUGACCCUGUUAGAUUUGGAUGAAAUUGCUAUUGUUAUUAAGUACUCUCACGAUCACCUGAGCUGAAACCCGUGGUCAAAUAAUUUGAAAAUUACGAAGACUAUUGAUCAAAUCAAACCAUAUUAUAAUAUAAAAAAUUGUGAAGAAAUCAAAUUGCAAUAUAAAAGUAAAAAAAAAAUGCAAAGCUUAAUUGUUAAGAAAUCAAAUAACGAUAUAAAAAUAAAUAAUAAUUCAAAGCUUAAUUGUUAAGUAUCGGUGGCCGCUGCCCAAUAUAUAUGUAAAUUUCACUUACCUUCCCUGAAUUUUUUAAUUCCAUGUAAAUAAAUCCUCUAUAUGUUUGUUAAAAAUAGCCAAUGGGGGGGGGGGGGCCGGGGCAUUAACUUCUUUUAUUUUUAAAAUUUAUGUCAAAAAAAUUUAAUUGAGCUAUUUCUUGUGCAAAAAUGAUAAAUUUACCUUUUAAUUUAGGAUUUUUAAAAAAUAAUUCUGAAUACAACUAAAAUAAAUAAAAACAUUUUUUUAAAAAAAUAUCAUUUAUAUUAUAAAUUACUCUAUUUAUAUUUUUUAUCAAUUUGUAUUUUUUUUAAAAAUAGUUUAAAUAGUUUACUUUUUAAGUAAUAAAAAAUAUAUUUAAAAA